UAGCUCAGUUGGUAGAGCAUGGUGUUUGCAACACCAGGGUUGUGGGUUUGUUUCCCAC
rfam:Salmo salar isolate Sally breed double haploid chromosome ssa06, whole genome shotgun sequence.